rnacentral:rRNA from 1 species
GAUAUCAAUAAGCGGAGGAAAAGAAACCAACAGGGAUUGCCCUAGUAACGGCGAGUGAAGCGGCAACAGCUCAAAUUUGAAAUCUGGCUCUCGGGCCCGAGUUGUAAUUUGUAGAGGAUGCUUUUGGUGAGGUGCCUUCCGAGUUCCCUGGAACGGGACGCCAUAGAGGGUGAGAGCCCCGUCUGGUUGGACACCGAGCCUCUGUAAAGCUCCUUCGACGAGUCGAGUAGUUUGGGAAUGCUGCUCUAAAUGGGAGGUAUAUGUCUUCUAAAGCUAAAUAUUGGCCAGAGACCGAUAGCGCACAAGUAGAGUGAUCGAAAGAUGAAAAGCACUUUGAAAAGAGAGUUAAAAAGUACGUGAAAUUGUUGAAAGGGAAGCGCUUGUGACCAGACUUGGGCUUGGUUGAUCAUCCAGGGUUCUCCCUGGUGCACUCCUCCAGCUCAGGCCAGCAUCAGUUUGCUUCGGGGGAUAAAGGCGUCGGGAAUGUGGCUCCCUCCGGGGAGUGUUAUAGCCCGUCGUGUAAUACCCUGGGGCGGACUGAGGUUCGCGCAUCUGCAAGGAUGCUGGCGUAAUGGUCAUCAGCGACCCGUCUUGAAACACGGACCAAGGAGUCGUCUUCGUAUGCGAGUGUUCGGGUGUCAAACCCCUACGCGUAAUGAAAGUGAACGCAGGUGAGAGCUUCGGCGCAUCAUCGACCGAUCCUGAUGUUCUCGGAUGGAUUUGAGUAAGAGCAUACGGGGCCGGACCCGAAAGAAGGUGAACUAUGCCUGUAUAGGGUGAAGCCAGAGGAAACUCUGGUGGAGGCUCGCAGCGGUUCUGACGUGCAAAUCGAUCGUCAAAUAUGGGCAUGGGGGCGAAAGACUAAUCAAACCUUCUAGUAGCUGGUUUCCGC